UCAUCCUGAAUUUUAGCCUCCCAUAC
rnacentral:piRNA from 1 species